rnacentral:lncRNA from 1 species
GCGAAUCCGGGUAUUUGGAGUUAUGAAGGUGUGGCAGGUGCACAUAUUGUGUUUUCUGGCUUGUGUUUCUUGGCAGCUAUCUGGCAUUGGGUAUAUUGGGACCUAGAAAUAUUCUGUGAUGAGCGGACGGGAAAACCUUCUUUGGAUUUGCCCAAGAUCUUUGGAAUUCAUUUAUUUCUUGCAGGGGUGGCUUGUUUUGGCUUUGGUGCAUUUCAUGUAACGCGUAAACCUGUUUUCUUUUCCAUUUUCGAAUUUCUUUUCUUUUUGUUAUAACAGAUAGCUAAAUAAAUGCAUAACUUGAAGAAUAAUCAUCCAAAAAUGUUCAAACCAAUUUUGUUAGAUUCUGGAAUUUAUGAACUAUCAGAUAAAAAUAAUAGAACCCAUGGCUUCUGUGUUCCUUUCUGAAGUUUUGAAUUAAAUAAGAAAACCACUCAAAACUCAAUAUUAGAAGGAAAAAUAGGAAUAUUGUUUAACCAGGGUUAGAAAAAUUUUGAGAAGCUUAUAUCUACCUACUAGACCAAGUAAAAAUGUUAAACCUCUCUGUAUACUCCAUUUAAGUUAGUUUUACCCCUUAUUCUAUAAUAUGCUUAAGGAUAAGGAAAAUAGAAAAUGUAAUUUAAUUAAUGAACCAGAGAGUACCUCUAUUUUUGUUAGGUUACUUAUUCAAUAUAGUUCACUGGAAAUAUAUAUCAUACCCUGUUUUAGUGUAAAAUAAGUAAGAUCUCUUUUGUUUUAAUAAAACAAGUGAAACUUAGAAAAACUCUACAAAAAUAACCCCAAGGUAAAAGCACCCCCACCCUUGGGAUAACUAUUGUUUUAUUAGAGAGAACUUAGGAAAAAUAUGAAAUCUGCUGUUUGACAUUUUUCAAAUAAUAAUGUAGUAGAAAGUGCCUUUUUAACAUUAAACUUAAGAAAAUCAUAACUAAAUAACCACCCCUUAGUUUUCUGUGAUUUUUAGCACAGAGACCUAUUAUUACUAUUGGAUGCCAGCAAAAAUAACCUUUAGGACAGAACCUACCCCCAACUAAGAGGUGUAGUGUAAAGUGGCCCAUUUUGCCUAACUUUUGUUAUUUUUGUUUAAAGCCUAGCCUUGGUACUUAAAGCCUCAACUUCUUAAAACAAGCUAGAAUAGCAAGUGACAACCCACUGUAAUUUUUACAGAAUUUUUUGGAAAUUAUUAAAACCCUGUUGAAGUUCAAACCUACCCUAGAAACCCUAAAUGGAAAUUAAGGAAAGGAAAAUGAAUAAUGUGAAUGAAUGUUAUCCUAAAACCUUUGUAAUCUGUCCACUAAAAUAUAUCAAGGCAAUACCAAUUCACUAUGUUAUUCAAAAAGAAACCUAAGCUUAAAGGGUAAUAAGUCUAUGUAUCUAUAUAUAUGCCACUAGAAGCCCCGCAUGACUAAGAAAACCCUAAGUUAAUUCUUGACUUAGUUUCUUUAGCUUAAUGUUCUUAAAUCUUGCAUAAUCAUGACAUACAUGUUCAUUGCAUUUCGAUAGACUGUAAUCUCGCUGACGGAGAGUACAUCCUCGUGCCGGAGCAAGGAGCUGCUCAGGAGGUAGCCCCAGACCCAGCACCCGAGCCUGCACCAGAGGACCUGCCUGCCACUGCUUUGGAAGGCAAGCCUCGGUUUUAUGCAUAACCUGUUAUUUAUGCUAUUUUACUUCACUUAAUGAUUGUAGGAUUGAUUGUGCACUUAGGUGUAGGAAUUGUUUGAAACCCUAGUUGCAUGAUCUCAGGAAUCCUUUUGAGAUGAAUACUAGUAUGACAGGUCGAGUAGUUGCUUUAUUUAAUUAGGAUCUCGGUAGAAGACGAGUGAUUUUUCUAGCACUCGCGCGAGAUCAGGAAAUUGAUUGUACCCACUUGCACACUGUCAUGAUACUAGUUGGUGGACAACAAUCCAUGGGGAUUGGUUGUUCACGAGAUGGAAAAUGGAAUAAGGAUUAACGUGCGGAUACCUGUGUCAAGCGUUUGAACGUACUAAACACAUACCGAGAAAUAUGGUAAAUCGGUAAGCCUAGUACCUGAGUGAACCUGCCCGCAGAUUGCCCUCCUCACGCGACCUGAGACGAGGUCUCCCAUUCUGGUUAUGGUGGGUACAAGUGCGGUCACUGCACGACGGCCAGUCGGGGUCAGUGAGGCAUUGUACGCCAAGGCGGUGAGCCCCUUUCUGUUGCCAGGGAAUCGAUGGGGACGGUUGAUGUGUGUGGGGACGGAGUGCCCCUGCAUGUCGUGUGUUUAGGUUUGCCUUGCAAGGAUAAAAACUCGAUUCGAAUCGUCUGCUUCUCGCAGCUAAUGAGACUGCUUGAUCCAUUGUACUGCAUUGAGUAAUAAGUGGAAGUAUGAUGAGUUGAGAUAAGAUGUUGAUUGUUAACAAUGCUUGCUACCAUGUAUGAGUAGAUAGUCCACUUUUAGCCUUAAGAGAGUCACACUUAACUUUGACUAAGUUAAAAUCUUGAUUUAGAAACUCAGCUAGUGCUUUUGGCAACCAAACCCCACAGCCAAACAACUGCAUGUCUAGAGGUAGAGGAGUAGACUCCUCACACCGGGUAAGUCUAGCUGAGUAUUAGUAUACUCAGCCUUGCUUGUGGCACAAUUUUUUACAGGUUCUCUGGAGGAGAUGGUUGCUGGGAUAACUUGGCCGUCCACCUUGCCACCGGGUUGGACUGUUGAGUGGGACCCUGCCUCGGCUGAGGAGGAGCAUGAGGAGUGAUGGGACAGGCUUCCCCAUCUCUCUGUUUAAGUAUCGUUAGUUUUAUUCCGCUGCACUUCGAACAAUGAUGGUUACUUUUGCAAAACUCCGAUGAUGAUGAUGGUGAUGUAAUAAUUUAAUACUCUGGCAUGUAUGGUUUUAUGCUUUAUUGUAUUUGCUCUGUGACUCACCUUCGAGUGAGAUUGUGGUACUUGAUCCUGUCAGUGGCCGUGUCGGACUAGAUCCGAGGGAUUGACGGGUUAUUCCUAUUUAAGUGUGGUCUAGCCUCUAAGGCGGGACUUAGGCACUUAAGUUGGAAUAAUUCGGGCAGUUCCGCCACAGCUGGUAUCAGAGCUUGUACCACCACAGAGGAAUCAAUAAAAUGUAAAUACCAUCAAUUUUCUAAAUAAAACUUGAUAGAAACAAGGUUGGAUAGAAAGUAGGACGAGCAGGAUAGACCUAGGACGUGAAGCCUUAGGUAAAUAGAAGAGUAGCUAGGUGGCUAAGUAACUAGGCCCUACAGGCCACUUUUUCGGGAUGGGAGUUCCUCCCUACUUCUUUUAUCUUAUUGUGAGGUCGUUCAGGACGAGCAUGCAUGCAUUCAUGAUUAAGCAAAUAGAUAACUGAGUAAAAGACUUAAAAACAAGAUAACAACCAACUAGGUCUCCAGCGCCUUUUCAUUAACUAAAGAAGGGCUGAGUUUUAUUUUUCCUUGUUCUUUUAUAAUUCUUUUUUUUACGCUUAACCGUACACAGAUGACUUCCCACGGAUCCUCCGAUGACGGAAAUGCACUGACCCACACUGACGGACUUGCACGAGAGGGCUUUCCCCGCAUUUUGUGGGAAGUACUUCAGGGGGCCGGAUACACGACACCCCCUCAGUACGCGGUGCAGCAGUUCGAGAAGCACCGAGUGCCUCGCUGUAAGGUGAGGAUGACCUUGGAGCCUCAUCCCCUGCAGCCAGGAUGGCGCUCCUUGGACUCCGAGUCUUUUGGGUACCGGGCAGAGGACACGAUCGAGGCGAUCGCUCUGCAUGGAUUGACUACCUUCUGCGGAUUCCAUCCCUUGGAGCUGGCUACCCACCCCAUUGGCUUGUUCCCCGCUGAGAGGGAGGACGACCCAAUGUGGAAGGAUCGGGUGGAGCAUGCCAAGGAUAUCUGGGCCAUCUACCCGGGUCAGACUGCGCACUUGACAGUACGGUGCAUGAAUGCUCUGUACCGUCUGCAAGUGAUGCGCGGUGAGGCAAUGUCCCAUCUGAUGGCACUGCUGGAGGCAACAAAGAUCACGCUGGAUAACAGAGAGGAGCUCGUGGUUGAUUUAUCUCAAGAAAUGGUGGAGAAGGACUUGCAGGUGGAGCAGCUAUCCACUGAUAUUUAGGAAUUGGAGGAGCUGGUGGGCACCAGGGAGAACACCAUCGAGGUCCUAGAGGAUCAGCUCCUUAACACUCAGCAGCAGCUCGCUGAGGCUAACGAGCACCUGGACAUGCACCACCAGGAGAUCCAGGACCAGGAGGCCAACGAGGACGUCGACAUUGAGGGAGGAGAUGAGCCUGCCUCCAGUGUGGACACUGCUGGCUCGGGAAGACCACCUUCCCCCGAGUCGAGUGUUGCUUCGUUCGCUCACUAGGUGUCCAGGGUAGGCUUAGAAGUCGGAUAGUCGGACUCCUCACAGCUAGCUUAGCUUUUGCACCCUUGGGGUACUAGGCUAGUUAGAGUUGAGUCAUUUUGGAACAAAUUGAUGUAAUCGUGCAAAAACUCUCUUGGGAGCUGGUUUGAUGGAUGCUAUUAUCAGUUUAGAUUUGGAAGGAGGAAUUUAUGCCUCUUGAAAUCCCUUUUGUUGAAGUCGGAGUCUAUCAUGCUAUUUUAACUUUUCCCCGUGAUAAAAUCUUGAAAUUUGGAACUGUGGUGUUAAGUAAGUAUGUGAUUUUUCAGAUGGCCGGGAGGCAGCGUCGUGGCCAGAACGAGCACGUUCCUCCACCGCCGCCACCACCUCCCACUCUGCAGGAGCUCAUGGCUCAGCAGAAUGAGAUCCUGAGGCAGCUGGCUCAGCGUCAACCACCACCUCAACAUUAUGGUGGUGGAGACCAUCAGCGUCACCCCGCGGCGGCUACAUACCAGGAGUUCCUUAGCACCCAGCCUCCAUUGUUCACGAGGGCGGAGGACCCACUUGACGCAGAUGUAUGGCUGCGAGUGGUGGAAUCCAAAUUCCCACUACUCCAUGGGGCUUGCUCAGAGGUCACCAAAGUCAGGUUCGCCACCCAGCAGCUUCGUGGACCCGCAAGGACUUGGUGGGAUCAUUUUCUUGCUAUGCAGCCAGAGGACCGAGAGGUGGAGUGGAGGGAGUUCAAGGCAGCUUUUAGAGGACACCAUAUACCAACCGGGAUCAUGGACAGGAAGCUCAAUGAGUUCUUGGCACUCACUCAGGGCAACAGGACAGUGUUGCAGUAUGCCCAGGCCUUUAAUGACUUGUGCCAGUACGCGGGAUAUCAUGCAGAUACAGAUGAGAAGAAGAGGGACAGAUUCAGGAGGGGGCUUAGCACUAAGCUCCGUGAUCGUCUCAACACCGUCAGGGCCAACAGCUACAAUGAGUUGGUCAACAUGGCUAUCUCCCAAGAGGACUGCAUUACAGCUAGGCAGGCAGAGAAGAAGAGGAAGACCCCUGUGGCAGGACCCUUAGCUCAGCCACAGCACUUCAGGAUUGUGUCCGACACCCAGGGCAGGGGACCGCAGCAGCAGCAAGGGCGAUGGGUAAUCCGACCUCAGCAGCAGCAGGCACCCAACCGCAACCAGUUUCCAGCUCAGAGGAAUAACCAGCAGCAGCAGUACCGCCAGGCAAAUGACAACAGAUGCUUCACUUGUGGCAACACUGGGUAUUAUGCCAAGAAUUGCCCCAGGAACCAGCAGAGGCAGGGACAGAAUGCUAAUCAGAACCAAGGCAAAAGGCAGAAGGUGCAAGUGAGGCAAGGCAGACUGAACUUCACCACCAUGGCUGACAUUCCUGAGGGAGCACCCGUCAUGACUGGUAUCUUUACAGUUUUGAAUUAUCCUGCGAUUAUUUUAUUUGAUUCGGGUGCAUCGCAUAGUUUUAUCAGUGCUAAGUUUAGUGCCAAGUGCCAGUUGCCCUUUCACCAUACCGAUGGGGGCAUUACAAUUUCAAUGCCAGGAGGCAGAGUUGCCACUUAUCAAAUCAACAGGCAAGUGCCUAUAAAAUUUGGUAGUCUGGUGAUUAGAACCACCCUUCUCAUCUUAGGGUUGGAUAGCGUGGAUAUUAUUUUGGGAGCUGACUGGUUGACCAGGCAUCAGGCAGUAUUGGACAUUGCAGCCAGAGCCAUUGAAAUUCAUUCCCCUGCUUAUGGCGAGACUGUUUUAUAUUUGCCCGACCAGGGUUGUACCCGAUCUUGUGCCUUUGUUAUGAUAGAAUCCCCGGUGAAAAAUAUCCCAGUGGUCUGCGACUACCCAGAUGUUUUCCCAGACGAAUUGCCAGGGAUGCCACCUGACCGAGAUAUUGAGUUCGCCAUCGAAUUGCAACCCGGGACUGCUCCUAUCUCCAAGAGACCCUAUAGGAUGCCUCCCGCGGAACUAGCGGAAUUGAAGAAACAAUUGCAAGAAUUGUUGGACAAGGGGUUUAUUCGUCCAAGCACUUCACCAUGGGGAUGUCCAGCCUUAUUUGUGAAGAAAAAGGAUGAGAGUUUGAGGAUGUGUGUUGACUACCGCCCUCUCAAUGCGGUGACUAUUAAGAACAAGUACCCGCUACCCCGCAUUGAUGUUCUGUUCGAUCAAUUGGUAGGAGCUGAAAGGGAAAUGUGCCCUUGGGCCAUUUCUAAGUAUUUUGGUGAUUGAGUGCCAACUCAAGUGCUUAAAAUGUGAAUUUAUGCAAUGGAUGAACAAAGUGCAAAUCAAGAGCAAAGGUAUGUUUCUAAGUCUUAGUACAUUGGUUUUGUGUACUAAUAUACUUGUCUAAGUAUUGGAAACAGGAAGAAAAAGAAAAGGAAAAAGGUGGCUGUGUACAGCCAAGGGGCUGUUUCGGUCUGGGGCACCGGACUGUCCGGUGGUGCACCGGACAGUGUCCGGUGCGCCAGGCUGCCUCGGCCGAACAGGCCGCUCUCGGGAAUUCGCCGACGGCGUACGACUAAAAUUCACCGGACUGUCCGGUGUGCACCAGACUGUCCGGUGAGCCAACGGUCGGCUAGGGCCAACGGUCGGCCGCGGAUUCUGCGCGCGACACGUGGCCAAGCCAACGGUCGGAAGGGGGCACCGGACUGUCCGGUGUGCACCGGACAUGUCCGGUGCGCCAACGGCUCUCAGAUCUGCAACGGUCGACUGCGCUGCUUAAGGAAGGAAAUCGGGCACCGGACAGUGUCCGGUGUGCACCGGACUGUCCGGUGCGCCCGACGACAGAAGGCAAGAUCAGCCUUCCAGAUUUGCUCUCAACGGCUCCUAGCUGCCUUGGGGCUAUAAAAGGGACCCCUAGGCGCAUGGAGGAUGACACUAAGCAACCUAAGAGCAUUCUUGAUCAUCCACACUCAUUCUUUGCGCAUUCGUUUGUCAUUCUAAGUGAUUCGAGCUCCGUUCUUGUGAGAACUUUGAGAUAGUCUUUGGAGCUCGAUUCUUGGCCGUGUGUGUGCGCAUUUUGCUGUGGAUUUGUGUGUGUUGCUUCCCUCCCUUACUCCGUAUUUCUUUGUGAAUCUCAAGUGUAAGGGCGAGAGACUCCAAGUUGUGGAGAUUCCUCGCAAACGGGAAAUUGAAAGGAAAAGCAUAACACUGUGGUAUUCAAGUUGAUCAUUGGAUCACUUGAGAGGAGUUGAGUGCAACUCUCGUCCGUUGGGACGCCACAACGUGGAGUAGGAAAGUUUUGUACUUGGCCGAACCACGGGAUAAAUCACUGUGUCUUCUCUGUGUUGAACUCCUUGUGAUUAUCAUAUUGUGCAAGAUCUUCUCUCCAGCCACUUGGCAUUAACUGUGCUAACACUUAAUCAAAGUUUUGUGGCUUAAGUUUUGAAGUUUACAGGAUCACCUAUUCACCCCCCCUCUAGGUGCUCUCAAUUGGUAUCGGAGCCGUUCUCUUCAAGAAAGGGACUAACCGCCCGAAGAGAUGGAUCCUAAGGGGAAGGGAAUCGUGAUCAACGACAAGGAAAAGGAGUCCUUCGUCAACGAGCCAAAAGAUGACAAAUCCAACGACUCCGGCUCGGGCCACAGACGUAAAGAUGGGAAGAAGAAGAAGACAAGACGUAUCAAGGAGAUCGUCUACUACGACAGCGACGAGUCUACUUCUUCCCACAAGGACGACGACAACGACUACAGGAAGACGGUCAAUUCGAACUUUUCAUUUGAUUAUUCUCGUAUUCCACAUAGUUCGAAUUCGCAUUUGCUUUCCAUUCCUCUUGGCAAACCUCCACACUUUGAUGGGGAGGACUACGGAUUUUGGAGUCACAAAAUGCGUAGCCAUUUAUUCUCUCUCCAUCCAAGCAUAUGGGAGAUUGUAGAGAGUGGAAUGAAAUUUGAUAGCUCGGAUAGCCCUAUGUUUAUUAACGAACAAAUUCAUAAAAAUGCACAAGCUACUACUGUGUUGCUAGCCUCUUUGUGCAGGGACGAGUACAAUAAGGUGAGCGGCUUGGACAAUGCCAAGCAGAUAUGGGACACCCUCAAGAUUUCUCACGAGGGGAACGACAUCACCAUGCUCACUAAAAUGGAGUUGGUGGAGGGCGAGCUUGGAAGGUUUGCAAUGAUAAGGGGCGAGGAGCCAACCCAAACAUACAACCGGCUCAAGACCCUUAUCAACAAAAUAAGGAGUUAUGGAAGCACGCGAUGGACGGACCAUGACGUCGUCCGACUAUUGCUAAGGUCCUUUACCAUUCUUGAUCCUCAUUUGGUGAAUAAUAUUCGUGAGAAUCCCAGGUACACCAAAAUGUCGCCCGAAGAAGUCCUAGGAAAAUUCGUCAGCGGGCGAAUGAUGAUUAAGGAAGCAAGGUACGUGGACGACGCCUUGAAUGGACCAAUCAACGAGCCGCAACCUCUUGCUCUCAAAGCAACAAGAAGCAAGGAGGCGCUACCUAGCAAGGUGGCACAAAUUGAGGCAGCCGGACUUAAUGAUGAAGAGAUGGCUCUCAUCAUCAAACGCUUCAAGACGGUGCUAAAAGGUCACAAGGGGCAGCCAAGCAAGACCAAGACAAAAGGGAAGCGCUCAUGCUUCAAGUGCGGUAAGAUUGGUCAUUUUAUCGCUAACUGCCCUGAUAACGAUAUUGACCAGGAACAGGGGAACAAGAGGGAAAAGAAGAAGAAUUACAAGAAGGCCAAGGGCGAGGCACACAUCGGAAAGGAGUGGGAUUCGGAUUGCUCCUCCGACUCCGACAAUGAAGGACUCGCCGCCACCGCCUUCAACAAGUCAUCCCUCUUCCCCAACGAGCGUCACACAUGCCUUAUGGCAAGGGAGAAGAAGGUGAGUACUCGAGACUCCACUUAUGCUUCUUCUAGUGAUAAUGAGUCUAGUGAUGAUGAUGACAUAGACUAUUCAUACUUAUUCAAGGGUUUAGAUAGAUCUAAGAUAGACAAAAUUAAUGAAUUGAUUGAUGCCUUGAAUGAUAUGAAUAGGCUUUUAGAAAAGCAAGAGGAUUUGUUGUAUGAUGAGCAUGAUAAGUUUGUAGAGGCACAAAAAUCCUAUGCUUUAGAAGUUAAAAGAAAUGAAGUACUUUCUAGUGAAUUAUCUUCUUGUCAUGAAAACAUUGCUACUUUAAAGAGCGUUAAUGAUGAUUUAAAUGCUAAGCUAGAAAAAUCUAGUAAAUUAACAUCUUGUGUAGAACAUGUUGUGAUUUGCACUAGGAGUAAAGACUUUAAUGUUGAUGCUUGUAGUGAACACCUAGAGUGCAUUUCUAAAUUAAAUGAUGAAGUAGCUAGUCUUAAUGCCCAACUUAAGACUAGCAAGAGUGAUUUGGAUAAACUAAAAUUUGCAAGGGAUGCCUACACAAUUGGUAGACACCCCUCAAUUAAGGAUGGGCUUGGCUUCAAGAGGGAAGUCAAGAACUUGACAAGCCAUAAGGCUCCCAUCUCCGCCAAGGAGAAAGGGAAGGCCCCUAUGGCUACUAGUGUUAAAAAGAACCAUGCCUUUUUGUAUCAUGAUAGGAAAAAUUCUAGAAAUGCUUUUAGAAGAUAUGAUGCUUUUGAUUCACAUGCUUAUGAUUCUUAUGCUAUGACUGCUUCUAGUUCUCAUGUUGUGCAUGAUAGAAAAGUUGGUAGGAGGAAUGUUGUUCAUAAUAUGCCUAGGAGAAAUGUUGUUAAUAUUCCUAGGAAAGUUAAUGAGCCUUCUACAAUAUAUCAUGCUUUGAAUGCUUCCUUUGCAAUUUAUAAAAAUGAUAGAAAGGUAAUUGCUAGAAAGUUAGGGGCAAAAUGCAAGGGUGAUAAAACUUGCAUUUGGGUCCCUAAGGAUAUUUGCACUAACCUUGUAGGACCCAACAAGAGUUGGGUACCUAAGUCCCAAGCCUAAAUUUGCCUUGCAGGUUUAUGCAUCCGGGGGUUCAAGCUGGAUUAUCGACAGCGGAUGCACAAACCAUAUGACGGGGGAGAAGAAGAUGUUCACCUCCUACGUCAAGAAUAAGGAUUCCCAAGAUUCAAUUAUAUUCGGUGAUGGGAAUCAAGGCAAGGUAAAAGGGUUAGGUAAAAUUGCAAUUUCUAAUGAGCAUUCUAUCUCUAAUGUAUUUUUAGUAGAGAGUCUUGGAUAUAAUUUGCUAUCUGUUAGUCAAUUAUGUCAUAUGGGAUAUAACUGUCUAUUUACAAAUGUAGAUGUGUCUGUCUUUAGAAGAAGUGAUGGUUCACUAGCUUUUAAGGGUGUAUUAGACGGCAAACUUUAUUUAGUUGAUUUUGCAAAAGAAGAGGCCGGUCUAGAUGCAUGCUUAAUAGCUAAGACUAGCAUGGGCUGGCUGUGGCAUCGCCGCUUAGCACAUGUGGGGAUGAAGAACCUUCACAAGCUUCUAAAGGGAGAACACGUGAUAGGUUUGACUAACGUGCAAUUCGAAAAAGAUAGACCGUGUGCAGCUUGUCAAGCAGGUAAACAAGUGGGAGGAGCACAUCACAGCAAGAAUGUGAUGACCACUUCAAGACCCCUGGAGCUGCUGCAUAUGGACCUCUUCGGACCCGUCGCCUAUUUGAGUAUAGGAGGAAGUAAGUAUGUUCUAGUUAUUGUUGAUGACUUUUCCCGCUUCACUUGGGUAUUCUUUUUGCAGGAUAAGUCUGAAACCCAAGGGACCCUCAAGCGCUUCCUCAGGAGAGCUCAAAAUGAGUUUGAGCUCAAGGUGAAGAAGAUAAGGAGCGACAACGGGUCCGAGUUCAAGAACCUUCAAGUGGAGGAGUUCCUUGAGGAGGAAGGGAUCAAGCAUGAGUUCUCCGCUCCCUACACACCACAGCAAAAUGGUGUGGUAGAGAGGAAGAACAGGACGCUAAUCGACAUGGCGAGGACUAUGCUUGGAGAGUUCAAGACCCCCGAGCGUUUUUGGUCGGAAGCCGUGAACACGGCUUGCCACGCCAUCAACAGGGUCUACCUUCAUCGCCUCCUCAAGAAGACUUCAUAUGAGCUUCUAACCGGUAACAAACCCAAUGUAUCUUACUUUCGUGUAUUUGGGAGCAAGUGCUACAUUCUAGUGAAGAAGGGUAGAAAUUCUAAGUUUGCUCCCAAAGCUGUAGAAGGGUUUUUAUUAGGUUAUGACUCAAAUACAAAGGCGUAUAGAGUCUUCAACAAAUCAUCAGGUUUGGUUGAAGUCUCUAGCGACGUUGUAUUUGAUGAGACUAAUGGCUCUCCAAGAGAGCAAGUUGUUGAUUGUGAUGAUGUAGAUGAAGAAGAUGUUCCAACGGUCGCUAUACGAACCAUGGCGAUUGGAGAAGUGCGGCCACAGGAAUGAACGAGAUCAAACAUCUUCCUCAACUAUGGUGCUACCCCCAACUCAAGACGAUGAACAGGUUCAUCAACAGGAGGCGUGUGAUCAAGGGGGAGCACAAGAUGAUCGUGUGAUGGAGGAAGAUGCGCAACCAGCACCUCCAACCCAAGUUCGAGCGAUGAUUCAAAGGGAUCAUCCCGUCGACCAAAUUCUGGGUGACAUUAGCAAGGGAGUAACUACUCGAUCUCGAUUAGUUAAUUUUUGUGAGCAUUACUCCUUUGUCUCUUCUAUUGAGCCUUUCAGGGUAGAGGAGGCCUUGCUAGAUCCGGACUGGGUGUUGGCCAUGCAGGAGGAGCUCAACAACUUCAAGAGAAAUGAAGUUUGGACGCUGGUGCCUCGUCCGAAGCAAAAUGUUGUGGGAACCAAGUGGGUGUUCCGCAACAAACAGGACGAACACGGGGUGGUGACGAGAAACAUGGCUCGACUUGUGGCAAAAGGUUAUGCCCAAGUCGCAGGUUUGGAUUUCGAGGAGACUUUUGCUCCUGUGGCUAGGCUAGAGUCUAUUCGUAUCCUGCUAGCAUAUGCCGCUCACCAUUCUUUCAGGCUGUUCCAAAUGGAUGUGAAGAGCGCUUUCCUCAACGGGCCAAUCAAGGAGGAGGUGUACGUGGAGCAACCCCCUGGCUUCGAGGAUGAACGGUACCCCAACCACGUGUGUAAGCUCUCUAAGGCGCUCUAUGGACUUAAGCAAGCCCCAAGAGCAUGGUAUGAAUGCCUUAGAGACUUUCUAAUUGCUAAUGCUUUCAAGGUUGGGAAAGCCGAUCCAACUCUUUUUACUAAGACAUGUGAUGGUGAUUUGUUUGUGUGCCAAAUUUAUGUCGAUGACAUAAUAUUUGGUUCUACUAACCAAAAGUCUUGUGAAGAGUUUAGCAGGGUGAUGACGCAGAAAUUCGAGAUGUCGAUGAUGGGCGAGUUGAACUACUUCCUUGGGUUCCAAGUGAAGCAACUCAAGGACGGCACCUUCAUCUCCCAAACGAAGUACACGCAAGAUCUGCUAAAGCGGUUUGGGAUGAAGGACGCCAAGCCCCCAAAGACUCCGAUGGGGACCGACGGACACACCGACCUCAACAAAGGAGGUAAGUCCGUUGAUCAAAAAGCAUACCGGUCAAUGAUAGGUUCUUUGCUUUACUUAUGUGCUAGUAGACCGGAUAUUAUGCUUAGCGUAUGCAUGUGUGCUAGAUUUCAAUCCAAUCCUAAGGAGUGUCACUUAGUGGCGGUAAAGCGAAUUCUUAGAUAUUUGGUUGCUACGCCUUGCUUCGGGCUCUGGUAUCCAAAGGGGUCUACCUUUGACUUAGUUGGAUACUCAGACUCCGACUAUGCUGGAUGUAAGGUCGAUAGGAAGAGUACAUCGGGGACGUGCCAAUUCUUAGGAAGGUCCCUGGUGUCAUGGAACUCUAAGAAACAAACCUCCGUUGCCCUAUCCACCGCUGAGGCCGAGUACGUUGCCGCAGGUCAGUGUUGCGCGCAACUACUUUGGAUGAGGCAAACCCUCCGGGACUUUGGCUACAAUCUGAGCAAAGUCCCACUCCUAUGUGACAAUGAGAGUGCUAUCCGCAUGGCGGAGAAUCCUGUUGAGCGCAGCCGCACAAAGCACAUAGACAUCCGGCAUCACUUUUUGAGAGACCACCAGCAAAAGGGAGAUAUCGAAGUGUUUCAUGUUAGCACCGAGAACCAGCUAGCCGAUAUCUUCACUAAGCCUCUAGAUGAGAAGACCUUUUGCAGGUUGCAUAGUGAGCUAAAUGUCUUAGAUUCGCGGAACCUGGAUUGAAUUGUAGCAUACAUGUAUUUAUGCUUUUGAUCAUGUUCCUUGUUGCAUUUUGUUGCUUAUUAUGGUGCUCAAGUUGUACAAACACUCCCUGGACCUCGCAAGUCCGUUGCAAAGUGAUGCACAUGUUUAGGGGGAGAUGUGUUACAACUUGACCCUUUCGAGACUAACCAUGUGCUUGAGUUUGAUGAUUUAGUCUCGAAGGAGGAUUGAAAGGGAAAAGGUGGACUUGGACCAUGCAAGACUUCCACUGCACUCCGAUGAGAGGGUAACUUAUUCCAAGUUCAUCUCUAUGAUCUUAUUGCCUUUGUACUCUUAAUUGAAGAUUUUGGUGAGGCAAUGGGGUUAAAGGGCCAAGAUUGAUCCCGUUUUGGUGCUUGAUGCCAAAGGGGGAGAAAAUAAAGGCCAAAGCGAUAAAUGGAUCAGCUACCACUUGAGAGAUUUUGAAAAUAGUAGAAUAGAGCUUUUUGUUUUAGCAAAACUCUUUUAUUGUGUCUUUUGUCAAAAGUUGGCUUCUUGUGGGGAGAAGUGGUGAUUAUGGGAAAUAGGGGGAGUUUUUGAAAUCUUUGAUCAAUCUCUUUUGGAAUAACUCUCUAUAUGCUUCAACAUGUGUGUUUGACUUAGAGAUAGAGAUUUGAGUUUGAUUUCAAAAACAAACCAAGUGGUGGCAAAGGAUGAUCCAUAGAUGCCAAACAUGAAUCAAAAUAAAUUUAAGUGUUAUUUGAAGUGGUUUUGCACUUGUUCUAGUUGCUUUAUGUUGUGUUGGCAUAAAUCACCAAAAAGGGGGAGAUUGAAAGGGAAAUGUGCCCUUGGGCCAUUUCUAAGUAUUUUGGUGAUUGAGUGCCAACUCAAGUGCUUAAAAUGUGAAUUUAUGCAAUGGAUGAACAAAGUGCAAAUCAAGAGCAAAGGUAUGUUUCUAAGUCUUAGUACAUUGGUUUUGUGUACUAAUAUACUUGUCUAAGUAUUGGAAACAGGAAGAAAAAGAAAAGGAAAAAGGUGGCUGUGUACAGCCAAGGGGCUGUUUCGGUCUAGGGCACCGGACUGUCCGGUGGUGCACCGGACUGUCCGGUGGUGCACCGGACAGUGUCCGGUGCGCCAGGCUGCCUCGGCCGAACAGGCCGCUCUCGGGAAUUCGCCGACGGCGUACGGCUAAAAUUCACCGGACUGUCCGGUGUGCACCGGACUGUCCGGUGAGCCAACGGUCGGCUAGGGCCAACGGUCGGCCGCGGAUUCUGCGCGCGACACGUGGCCAAGCCAACGGUCGGAAGGGGGCACCGGACUGUCCGGUGUGCACCGGACAUGUCCGGUGCGCCAACGGCUCCCAGAUCUGCAACGGUCGACUGCGCUGCUUAAGGAAGGAAAUCGGGCACCGGACAGUGUCCGGUGUGCACCGGACUGUCCGGUGCGCCCGACGACAGAAGGCAAGAUCAGCCUUCCAGAUUUGCUCUCAACGGCUCCUAGCUGCCUUGGGGCUAUAAAAGGGACCCCUAGGCGCAUGGAGGAUGACACUAAGCAACCUAAGAGCAUUCUUGAUCAUCCACACUCAUUCUUUGCGCAUUCGUUUGUCAUUCUAAGUGAUUCGAGCUCCGUUCUUGUGAGAACUUUGAGAUAGUCUUUUGAGCUCGAUUCUUGGCCGUGUGUGUGCGCAUUUUGCUGUGGAUUUGUGUGUGUUGCUUCCCUCCCUUACUCCGUAUUUCUUUGUGAAUCUCAAGUGUAAGGGCGAGAGACUCCAAGUUGUGGAGAUUCCUCGCAAACGGGAAAUUGAAAGGAAAAGCAUAACACUGUGGUAUUCAAGUUGAUCAUUGGAUCACUUGAGAGGAGUUGAGUGCAACUCUCGUCCGUUGGGACGCCACAACGUGGAGUAGGCAAGUUUUGUACUUGGCCGAACCACGGGAUAAAUCACUGUGUCUUCUCUGUGUUGAACUCCUUGUGAUUAUCAUAUUGUGCAAGAUCUUCUCUCCAGCCACUUGGCAUUAACUGUGCUAACACUUAAUCAAAGUUUUGUGGCUUAAGUUUUGAAGUUUACAGGAUCACCUAUUCACCCCCCCCCUCUAGGUGCUCUCAGGAGCCAAGGUAUUCUCCAAGAUAGACCUUCGCUCAGGAUACCAUCAGAUCAAGAUCCGUGCCAGCGAUAUUCCCAAGACGGCUUUCUCUACCAGAUAUGGGCUCUAUGAGUUUUUGGUGAUGUCUUUUGGGCUGACCAAUGCCCCGGCUUAUUUUAUGUACUUGAUGAACUCAGUAUUCAUGCCAGAACUAGACAAGUUCGUGGUCGUUUUCAUUGAUGACAUUCUGGUUUAUUCCAAGAAUGAAGCCGAGCACACCAAACACUUGCAUACUGUACUUCAGAGACUGCGUGAUCAUCAGUUGUAUGCUAAGUUGAGUAAGUGUGAGUUCUGGCUGGAGGAGAUUAAAUUCUUGGGACACACAAUUUCUCAGAAUGGGAUAUCAGUUGAUCCUGAGAAGGUACAAGAGGUAAUGGAUUGGAAACCCCCGACUACAGUGAAGCAAAUUCGGAGUUUUCUGGGAUUGGCAGGGUAUUAUCGACGAUUUAUUCCGGAUUUCUCCAGAAUUGCCAAACCAAUGACUGAACUGUUAAAGAAGGGAGUCAAAUUUGAGUGGAGCCAAAAGUGUGAAGAUGCCUUUCAUACCUUGAGGCAGCAUUUGACAACAGCCCCAGUGCUGGCCCAACCUAACAACACCAAGCCAUUUGAAGUUUAUUGUGACGCUUCUGGUACCGGAUUGGGAUGUGUCUUGAUGCAAGAGAACAAAGUGAUUGCUUAUGCUUCCCGGGCACUCAGGCCCCAUGAGCAGAACUACCCUACACAUGAUCUAGAAUUGGCAGCGGUAGUCCAUGCUCUAAAGAUAUGGAGACACUACUUGAUGGGAGCUCACUGUAACAUCUACACUGAUCACAAGAGUCUCAAAUACAUCUUCACUCAAGCAGAUCUGAACAUGAGGCAAAGGAGAUGGUUGGAGUUAAUCAAGGACUAUGAUUUGGAGGUGCAUUACCACCCUGGUAAGGCCAAUGUUGUGGCAGAUGCCUUGAGCAGAAAGACCCAGUGUAAUUGUAUGAGCAUGGAUGUGGGAGUGACCACCCUGUGUGAUGAGUUGUGCAAGCUGAACCUGGAAGUUGUUUCUUCGGGUAACCUAAGCUAUAUCUCGGUGGAACCCACGUUGCAAGAGCAGAUCAUCAGGGCACAGGUUGAGGAUAAGGGUGUUCAGGUUAUCAAGGAUAUGAUCAAGCAAAAGGCAGAAAAAUACAAGUGUUUCCGACAGGACAGCAAGGGAAUUCUAUGGUUUGGAGAUCGAUUGGUUGUUCCCAAGGACCCUGAGCUCAGAAAGCAAAUAUUGGAUGAAGCUCACCUUUCAAAAUUCUCCAUGCACCCUGGUAGCAACAAGAUGUACCAUGAUCUCAGGUCUUUAUAUUGGUGGACCAGAAUGAAGAGGGAAAUUGCCAAGUACAUCUCCGAGUGUGACACCUGCCAGAGAAUCAAGGCCAGUCACUUGAAGGCAGCAGGCCCUUUGCAACCCCUUCCCAUACCAUCUUGGAAAUGGGAGGACAUUUGCAUGGAUUUUAUUGUAGGAUUGCCCAAUACCUCCAGGCACCAUGAUUCCAUUUGGGUCAUCGUGGACAGGUUGACCAAGACCGCUCAUUUCUUGCCAGUGCACACCACCCACAAGACAGAGAAGUACGCAGAAAUUUAUGUUGAUCAGAUAGUAAGAUUGCAUGGUAUUCCAAAGACCAUUAUAUCUGACAGAGGAGCCCUGUUUGUGGCAUGCUUUUGGGAGAAACUGCAAGAAUCACUUGGGACCCAAGUAAUCCGAAGCUCAGCAUAUCACCCACAAACAGAUGGCCAGACAGAACGGGUGAAUCAGAUUUUGGAAGACAUGUUGCGGGCAUGUGCACUACAUUAUGGAAAGGAUUGGGACAAGUGUCUGUCUUUGGCAGAGUUUUCUUACAAUAACAGCUAUCAGUCCAGUUUGAAGAUGGCACCUUUUGAGGCAUUAUAUGGGAGAAGGUGUAGGACCCCACUUAAUUGGUCUCAAGCAGGAGAAAGGGAAAUUUUUGGGCCAGACUUGGUACUCGAGGCAGAGGCAAAGGUCAGGGUUAUUACCAAGAACUUAGAAGCUGCUCAGGCCAGGCAAAGGAGCUAUCAUGAUAGGAGGCUGAAGCCUCUACAGUUUGAGGUGGGAGAUCAUGUCUAUCUUAAGGUAUCACCCACCAAGGGUGUCCAGAGAUUCAGGAUCAAGGGCAAGUUAGCUCCUCGCUACGUUGGACCCUAUAAGAUCAAGGCAAGCUGUGGACCCGUAGCCUACCAAUUGGAAUUACCACCUCACAUGUCAGCAGUUCAUAAUGUGUUCCAUGUAUCUCAGCUGCGGAAAUGCGUUCGUCUACCCACUGAAGUGCUACCGGAACCAGACAUUGAGAUAGAACCAGACUUGUCCUACCAAGAGUACCCUGUCGUGGUAUUAGAUCAAAAGGAGAGAUCAACUCGGGCAAGGUCGGUCAGAAUGUACAAGGUUCAGUGGAGUCACCAUUCAGCAGAAGAAGCUACAUGGGAGACGGAGGAAUUUCUACGCUCUCGCUUCCCCGACUUUCUGCCCAAAGGAGUCGGUAUGUAACCCCAAACCCCCACCCCCACCUGCCCUUUGAAUUCAAUUAUAAGAAGAACUUAGAUAACGAGAAUAGUCUAAAUUGUGGAAUUAACUUAAGAAGGGCUUCCUUCUGAAGUUGCAAAGAGGAUGACAUUCGAAGAGCAGUAAAUAAGAGAAACUUAAGUAUAAAAAGGGAAAACAACACCAGCACACCUUCAAGCAUCCCUCCAAAGGGCUCUACCUGAAAUCUCGGGGCGAGAUUCCUUUAAGGGGGGAGGGCUGUAACACCCCAGGUGUUACCCAGGGUGUCCACCCCAGGGUUACCCCCUUUUCACCCAUUAUCACAUGAAGAGUGAAUUGGGCAAAGUAUACCAAACUUGGAAUUCUAGGUCCUAAGCAAGUGUAACCCACCUUGGAUGUCAUGCCCCAGCUUAUCAUGCACAUCUAAGUGGGGAUCUCCCAAAACCCUAAAGCAAAACCCCCAUAGGCAAUGGGAACCCUAAUUGAAGCCAUGAUCAAAAGAUCAUGUAAACCUUAUGAUCAUGGUUUGGGCCAAAUAGAAAAGUUGUAAUAUACUUAAUAACCUACAAUUAAUAGUAAGGAAGUACCCCCAAAAAGUUUUCAGAAAAGCCCUAAACAGUCCACCUAAGAUUUAGCACAAGGGGAAAUUCAGCUUUUGCCUAAGUGCAAAAACUAACCCUUGCACAAAGACUCCCCAUGUUCACCUUAAUCCCCUUUUCAAAACCUUUCGACCCAAUUGACAAAAGGGCGCCAAAUUAACCCUAGAACCCCCUGGAAAGAGAUGACACCUACCCUAGGGCGCUAGACACGACUUGACACCCCUUUUGUCUCGGUUCGGGCUUAGCUGACACAGCAAACUUCUCCCCUCUCUAUCUCCCUACCCCGACCAUAUCUCGACUUGGAACUCACAGCGAAAAGAUAGGAUUUGGAGCAGAGAAGCGACCGUACACAGUGACUUUGCCAAGAUACGCACGCUAUGGCGCUCUAAUCGGCCGUUGAACCAUGGCAGAAGCAAGCUUCCACGUGUUCGACGCGAGCUGGCAUCCGGGGGCGCGCUCAGAGCACGCCCGUGCGCGAACCCCCGCGCGCCCGCGACCGCCCGUGACCACGCCCGCGCCACGGCUAUAAAGCCCGCCCCAGUGCUUGGCUGCCUUCCCCGUUACCCCUCCGUACCUCGCCGGACUUGCCCGAGCCAGCCAUUAACUCCGGCGACCUCCCCGCGAACCGCCAGUGCCGCCCGAGAGCAACCACAGUGGCCAGCCCCUCUCCCGUCCUCCUCCGUUCGAUCCAAGCCCUUAGAUAGCUUCCUCGUGAGGCCGUGAGACUUGCUCGAGCUUGACCCAGGGACCCUCGUCACCGGAAUAGCCCAAUCAUGCUCACCGGAGUUCAAGAACCCGCCGGCACACGUGGACCGGGUAAGCCCCUGCACCGUUUUCCAAUUCGUUGCGCGCAUGGCCUCUGUGUCACCCCGUGAAGCUCCUCGUGCACCCUAAUUGAACUAUACCGCCGUGGUUUGGCCGGAGCAGGAGCCGCCGACGACCCCCGCCGCCUGUGCUCGUGGCCAGGGUAUCUCCGACCACCUCCGACACCGACCCGCACACCGACGUGACCGUCGCGACCUCCCGGACGUCACUGACCACCCCGCCGGAGCUCUACUGCCGCCGGUAAGCCCCACCGCCGUAAACUAUGCCGCGGGUACUGUUUAAGCCGGUCAGGGAGCGCGGGUUAGAUUUCAGUUAAGUCCAGGGGACUUUGCGCAAUGUCAGUGACCCAAGCCAAUAGUGGACCAAGGGCUGUUCUGUGAGAAAAGAAAAGGAAAAACCCCAGGGGCCUCAGCGUAAACCUGUUUUCUUUUCCAUUUUCGAAUUUCUUUUCUUUUUGUUAUAACAGAUAGCUAAAUAAAUGCAUAACUUGAAGAAUAAUCAUCCAAAAAUGUUCAAACCAAUUUUGUUAGAUUCUGGAAUUUAUGAACUAUCAGAUAAAAAUAAUAGAACCCAUGGCUUCUGUGUUCCUUUCUGAAGUUUUGAAUUAAAUAAGAAAACCACUCAAAACUCAAUAUUAGAAGGAAAAAUAGGAAUAUUGUUUAACCAGGGUUAGAAAAAUUUUGAGAAGCUUAUAUCUACCUACUAGACCAAGUAAAAAUGUUAAACCUCUCUGUAUACUCCAUUUAAGUUAGUUUUACCCCUUAUUCUAUAAUAUGCUUAAGGAUAAGGAAAAUAGAAAAUGUAAUUUAAUUAAUGAACCAGAGAGUACCUCUAUUUUUGUUAGGUUACUUAUUCAAUAUAGUUCACUGGAAAUAUAUAUCAUACCCUGUUUUAGUGUAAAAUAAGUAAGAUCUCUUUUGUUUUAAUAAAACAAGUGAAACUUAGAAAAACUCUACAAAAAUAACCCCAAGGUAAAAGCACCCCCACCCUUGGGAUAACUAUUGUUUUAUUAGAGAGAACUUAGGAAAAAUAUGAAAUCUGCUGUUUGACAUUUUUCAAAUAAUAAUGUAGUAGAAAGUGCCUUUUUAACAUUAAACUUAAGAAAAUCAUAACUAAAUAACCACCCCUUAGUUUUCUGUGAUUUUUAGCACAAAGACCUAUUAUUACUAUUGGAUGCCAGCAAAAAUAACCUUUAGGACAGAACCUACCCCCAACUAAGAGGUGUAGUGUAAAGUGGCCCAUUUUGCCUAACUUUUGUUAUUUUUGUUUAAAGCCUAGCCUUGGUACUUAAAGCCUCAACUUCUUAAAACAAGCUAGAAUAGCAAGUGACAACCCACUGUAAUUUUUACAGAAUUUUUUGGAAAUUAUUAAAACCCUGUUGAAGUUCAAACCUACCCUAGAAACCCUAAAUGGAAAUUAAGGAAAGGAAAAUGAAUAAUGUGAAUGAAUGUUAUCCUAAAACCUUUGUAAUCUGUCCACUAAAAUAUAUCAAGGCAAUACCAAUUCACUAUGUUAUUCAAAAAGAAACCUAAGCUUAAAGGGUAAUAAGUCUAUGUAUCUAUAUAUAUGCCACUAGAAGCCCCGCAUGACUAAGAAAACCCUAAGUUAAUUCUUGACUUAGUUUCUUUAGCUUAAUGUUCUUAAAUCUUGCAUAAUCAUGACAUACAUGUUCAUUGCAUUUCGAUAGACUGUAAUCUCGCUGACGGAGAGUACAUCCUCGUGCCGGAGCAAGGAGCUGCUCAGGAGGUAGCCCCAGACCCAGCACCCGAGCCUGCACCAGAGGACCUGCCUGCCACUGCUUUGGAAGGCAAGCCCCGGUUUUAUGCAUAACCUGUUAUUUAUGCUAUUUUACUUCACUUAAUGAUUGUAGGAUUGAUUGUGCACUUAGGUGUAGGAAUUGUUUGAAACCCUAGUUGCAUGAUCUCAGGAAUCCUUUUGAGAUGAAUACUAGUAUGACAGGUCGAGUAGUUGCUUUAUUUAAUUAGGAUCUCAGUAGAAGACGAGUGAUUUUUCUAGCACUCGCGCGAGAUCAGGAAAUUGAUUGUACCCACUUGCACACUGUCAUGAUACUAGUUGGUGGACAACAAUCCAUGGGGAUUGGUUGUUCACGAGAUGGAAAAUGGAAUAAGGAUUAACGUGCGGAUACCUGUGUCAAGCGUUUGAACGUACUAAACACAUACCGAGAAAUAUGGUAAAUCGGUAAGCCUAGUACCUGAGUGAACCUGCCCGUAGAUUGCCCUCCUCACGCGACCUGAGACGAGGUCUCCCAUUCUGGUUAUGGUGGGUACAAGUGCGGUCACUGCACGACGGCCAGUCGGGGUCAGUGAGGCAUUGUACGCCAAGGCGGUGAGCCCCUUUCUGUUGCCAGGGAAUCGAUGGGGACGGUUGAUGUGUGUGGGGACGGAGUGCCCCUGCAUGUCGUGUGUUUAGGUUUGCCUUGCAAGGAUAAAAACUCGAUUCGAAUCGUCUGCUUCUCGCAGCUAAUGAGACUGCUUGAUCCAUUGUACUGCAUUGAGUAAUAAGUGGAAGUAUGAUGAGUUGAGAUAAGAUGUUGAUUGUUAACAAUGCUUGCUACCAUGUAUGAGUAGAUAGUCCACUUUUAGCCUUAAGAGAGUCACACUUAACUUUGACUAAGUUAAAAUCUUGAUUUAGAAACUCAGCUAGUGCUUUUGGCAACCAAACCCCACAGCCAAACAGCUGCAUGUCUAGAGGUAGAGGAGUAGACUCCUCACACCGAGUAAGUCUAGCUGAGUAUUAGUAUACUCAGCCUUGCUUGUGGCACAAUUUUUUACAGGUUCUCUGGAGGAGAUGGUUGCUGGGAUAACUUGGCCGUCCACCUUGCCACCGGGUUGGACUGUUGAGUGGGACCCUGCCUCGGCUGAGGAGGAGCAUGAGGAGUGAUGGGACAGGCUUCCCCAUCUCUCUGUUUAAGUAUCGUUAGUUUUAUUCCGCUGCACUUCGAACAAUGAUGGUUACUUUUGCAAAACUCCGAUGAUGAUGAUGGUGAUGUAAUAAUUUAAUACUCUGGCAUGUAUGGUUUUAUGCUUUAUUGUAUUUGCUCUGUGACUCACCUUCGAGUGAGAUUGUGGUACUUGAUCCUGUCAGUGGCCGUGUCGGACUAGAUCCGAGGGAUUGACGGGUUAUUCCUAUUUAAGUGUGGUCUAGCCUCUAAGGCGGGACUUAGGCACUUAAGUUGGAAUAAUUCGGGCAGUUCCGCCACAAGUAUGCUUAGAGAAUUCUUGGUAUAUUCCUCCAUGCGCCUAGGGGUCCCUUUUAUAGCCCCAAGGCAGCUAGGAGCCGUUGGAGAUCAAUUUGGAAGGCAUUUCUUACCUUCAGUCGAGUGGUGCACCGGACAGUCCGGUGCACCACCGGACAACCACUGUUCAUGUCCGGUGCGCGAUCUCCUUCCAUAUCGGGUGCAUCCGACCGUUGCUCCUCGGGGCUGGUUGGCGCACCGGACACUGUCCGGUGCACACCGAACAGUCCGGUGUGCCCAACUGACCGUUGGAGCAAGACAUGCGUCGCCCGUAGAUUGCACAGCCGACCGUUGGCCGCGGGCACCGUUGGCUCACCGGACAGUCCGGUGCACCACCGGACAGUCCGGUGAUUUUUAGCCACGUCGCCUUUUUCAUUUCCCGAGACCGACGAGUUCGUCGUGGAUGACUCACCAGACAGUCCGGUGAUUUAUAGCCAUACACCUCCGUCGAUUUCCGAGAGCAGCUGGUUCAACGCCGGCCAGCCUGGGGCACAGGACACUGUCUGGUGCGCCACCGGACAGUCCGGUGUGCUAGGCCGAGCUGGAGUGGGCUGCACACUGCCAAUUCUUUUCCAUUUCUUUUCUACUUCUUUUGUCACUGUUUCUAGCACUUAUACAAACACAUUAGUAUUAAAAACAAUGUACUAAGUCUAGAACCAUACCUUGUAAUAUGAUUUGUAUUUCUCUUCUUUGUUUAGCACAUAGGAACUUAACCAAUCGUGUUGGGCAUUUAAUCACCAAAACAUAGAACUGGCCCAAGGGCACAUUUCCCUUUCAGCUGGUAUUUGAAUACCAGCUUAACCAGCCUGAAAACCAGCUGAACCAGUAUUUCCCAGAGAGCAAUUUUGGCCAAGAUAAACCUAAAAAGGUUGUGCUACAUACUUUCACUAAGAAUUAACAAGGGUAAAAUAGAAGUUUUGGAUCAAGGGUUUUGAGCUUUAGUACCAACACCAACCUUCUUUUUGGAUUCCUCUUGAUAGUACGACGAUUCCUAUACUCAAGUUAAAUAAAAUAUAAUUAAGUAAACUCCUUGAGUCAUUGGUGUCUCAUGUGUGAUUUCUCCAUGGCAUUGCUUCAUAAGGAUCACAAACAUUUUUGUCUCACCUUUUGAAGCAAAGACAAAUCAAGCCAUGUGACUUGAACCAUUUCACCAUAUAUGAGCUCAACUCAUGGCUUCAAGUCACCAUACUGAUGCAUCAACACAAUAUAACUCUUCAUAGCUGAUUAGUUCAUCGACUUAGUGUAAGUACUCUCUUCUUCACCUUAGCAAUGGUACCUUGGUCCACAAGUCGUCGCUUGGCCUUCACCUUCGCUUAUUUCCUCGAAUCCCUUUUCUUGUUAUCUUCACCCUAUGAAGCCAUUCUUGAGUCACAUCAUAUUGAACAUCCAUUGAGAGAAUCAUUUCUUCGAUAUUGUGAAACUUGCUUGAAUGUCAUCUAGAUAUAAAUGCUAAGAUCAAUCAAGCUCUAGUUUGAUUCUCAUAGAAGCAUAUAUGGACUAAUAGUAAUAUGGUCAAGUCAAUUCACAAUUCCUCAUAUCUUAUUCACUUUGGCUUGACCAAUCCUAUUAAUCACUUCAACCUCUAUUCAAACGAAUAUAGAGACCAUAUUAUAUCCAUUUGCAUUGUCUCAUUGGUUAUUUAACCUUGUGUUGAACCUUUGUUCACUGACCUUUAUACACUAUUCGAGUAUGUUCAUCAUACUAAAUUUCAUGUUCAACACUUAGCAUACUUGUUGGACCUUUAAAUGUGUUGUUAUCCAAAUCACCAAACCCACAAAAGGGAUGAAUGCACUUUCAACUUA